rnacentral:rRNA from 1 species
AUUGAACGCUGGCGGCAGGCCUAACACAUGCAAGUCGAACGAGUGGCGGACGGGUGAGUAAUGUCUGGGAAACUGCCUGAUGGAGGGGGAUAACUACUGGAAACGGUAGCUAAUACCGCAUACCAUCAUAUAUGCCCUGAUGGGAUUAGCGUGUUGGUGGGGGAACGGCGCACCAAGGAGACGAUCCCUAGCUGGUCUUAGAGGAUGACCAGCCAAACUGGAACUGAGACACGGUCCAGACUCCUACGGGAGGCAGCAGUGGGGAAUAUUGCACAAUGGGCGCAAUCCGGAUGCAGCCAUGCCGCGUGUAUGAAGAAGGCCUUCGGGUUGUAAAGUACUUUCAGCGGGGAGGCGUUACCCGCAGAAGAAGCACCGGCUAACUCCGUGCCAGCAGCCGCGGGAAUUC